UCAGACAUAGAAGUCUGACAGAGGUAGCUUGUGUCUGCCAAGUGUCUUGGUUCAUAAUUGGGUCUUACUGGUGCAGUAAAAUUUAUAAAUGGUAUUCUGUAAAUUCCCCAUCAGAGGCAGGAAGCAGUGCAGUUUUCCCCCUGGCACCCAUCUAUGCAGAAGCAGAAGAGGAAUUAGCUCAACCAGAGAGUGCAACCAGAAGUUGCUGAAAGAUCUGGUGUUUCUGAUAGACUUUGAAUUUAAAUACUGAGAAGUCAAGGCAUUUUCACCCCUACCUCUUGCACUCUCUUGCAACGACUCUUCCCCUUAUGCUUUCAUGAUUGCAGUUACCUCCUUUUCCUGGUGUGUGCAGAGGAAAUCCUGUUACAGCAUAGUCAAUCCAUGGCUCUGCUGCAAAAACCCACCUCAGCGUGCUGCUUCGGCUGCAUCUCCCCUCUUUGUCAGUCCUGCUGCUGCUCCCCCUUCUCUCGUGCAUCAGACAUACCAGCCGCAGGCUUCACUUUCAAGUGUCCUCUAUGCUCUCCCUGUACAUGCUGUACCACCUGUCCUGCUUUACCAAGACAUACCCCCUGGGUUUAUUCAGCCCAUGCUCUCAGCAUCUGUCUCCCUCAAGCUACCGCUGUUGUAUUUCCUGAGCUUCCCUUGUGUUUACUUGUAGCUUCGUAUAGCCACCUUGUCCAUCAUGUAGUUAAUUUCUUUGAUAUGUCCCAGUGUGUUUGCUGUUGCUGUGAUGCCUUCAGUGGCUGUCUGGUGAGAUGCUGAGGCAAGUCCUCACCCAUGCUGCCACACAUCCCUGUCACUGGAAUUAGUCUGCCUCUGGAUUUGAACAUAACAGUGUCCUCUAAAAUCAGGACACCUGAGAGGUAAUGUCAAACAGACCACUCUAUCUAGCACCAGCAGAAGCUCUCCUUCCAUGGUCUACUUUAUACUCACUUGCUCUUUUUGGCAUUUCAAGGUGCAACCCUGCCCCCUUAUGCUGACACAUUACAUGGUUCACUGCAAGUCCCUUUGCAAUAGUGUUGUAUUUUCACCUAAGUUACUGCAGACUGUUUUGUAAACAGUGACUAGAUAUAAAUAUUACGCACACAAAUGCAAAUAUGAUAAUGCCACAGUCUCUUUGUCAAGGGAGGGCUUGCAGCCUGCAUUGGAAGGGAUGGUGUGAGGAUGGAGACCUUUUCUGUUGUAACACUGAAGGGAAAGAGAGCAUCAAAGGAUAAGGCCGUUUCCUUGUGUGUCUUGGUAAAGCAGGCUGAGUCAGGAAGCAGAGUUACACCGAGCAGAGUUGCUGUGAUAGCACAUCUGUGCCUAAAAUUCCCUUGGCAUUUAAGUUGACAGUAUGUAGUUGGUACCGAAUCUGUUUUUUUGGGGGGAGAAAAAAUUCCAAAACAAACUGAUGCUCUAACUGAGGCUUCGGUUUAAUAAAGUGUACACAUUUAUGUCCUAGCUUUACAUUGUGCCAGGAUUUCUAAGGAGGUUAAAAUGAAAUCUGCUUGACAUUUGAGACUUUGAUAUGGACCAUAUCCUUUGUUUUUAUAAAAUAUAUUGAAGUCUGUGUGUCAGCUGAAUUUUAGUGUAGGAAAUUGUUUUCUUAUUACUCUGGACACCACUUACUGGGUCACAACUUCAUUAGUUAAGAACUAAUAACCUCCUUUACUAGCAAAGUUAAGGGUCACUUAUUGUUCAGCAGAGCCCCUUGCUGAAGUCUGCAGGGAGGGCUCCUGAGAGCUCUUGGCAUGAUGUGCCCACAGGAGUGGACAUGUCCCCGUGGAGUUUGACAGACAGAAGUUCCCCGCUAUCUUCAUUUGUGUAGCCAGCUCCUCUGGCAUUGGUCAGGAUGCUGUGCCACAGCACUGGUGGGGACAGUGGAGACUUUAAAUCACUUCCAGAUUUAGCCACAUUUAGUCCUAAAACUGUAUUCCUGGUAGGUGAAGGGGACUGUGCCUGAUAUUUCAGAGGGAUUUUCCCUCUUUUUUCAUAGAGGGAUGCUGAACCUGAGAGUUUGAGCCCUGCAAGUUGUUAGCUUCAAAGAUGAGCGUGAUGGAGAAUGAAAGAAAAAUCAGAUAGCAGAGACUGCUUGCCCUGGGGCUUGAUAUGUUGUCUGGUAUGUUUCAUCUCUGAGUAAACGACAAUGAGGAGGAGCUGGAGCACUGCCCCACGAGAAGCCCGUGGGGCUUCGGGAAGAGUGAAUGUGGUGCACUGGCCAUUUCACCCAAGCGUGGAGCCCAGGGCUGGUCUGCUUGUGUCAGAUACCAAAGGGGGUUAUCAGGAGCCCACUUUAAGAGUCAGGCACAAGCUGGCAAAGCUUAAUUAACUUUUGUUUGUUAUGAGAGUAAUUGUAUCACCAUCAUGCCACACAGAUGUCACCUCCCAAGAGGCUAGUAAGUGUUGGGAUGCUCCACAGACCAACUUGCAGCCUUUGCAAGGAGAGGUAGCAGGAAUGGAAUGACUCAACCAUUAAAGGAGACAAGACAAGAGCAGCUGAAGUACUUUCAUAUCCUUGUUCCACUGAAGAAAAUGAGCUUUAACUGAUUUUUUUCCCCCUAUUUUUCUUUCUUUCCUUCCUUUCUUUUUGCCCUGUGAAAAAGUACAUGUCUAAUUAAGAAGCCAGUCCACCCUAUGCUAAAUUUUCUGUGGAAACAAGAAUUUUGCCUUUGGAGUUGGAAGAGAUAAAAAAAUAAGUCAUUCCUCAAAAUGCAGAAAUUAAGGAAUCCUGAUAGCCACCUCCCUCUUCCCUGACUAACCUUGCCCUGGACCUCCUUCCAGCCUGCUGUCUCCACAGGCACCUGCAGUCUGUUACUUUGGCAGUGACAUCUCAAUGGCUGUGUUUGACUGUAAAAGUCAAUUACUGAGACCUAAAGCUAUUAGGGGGAACCAAAUGGCUGUGUGAUCUUUUGUGUCACUUCUUCCUGAUCAUCUGCUGUCAUUAAACUUUAGGAGCUCAUCUGUCUUUGAGGUUUCUGCCUGGAGUUGAAUUUGUCUGAAAGUGGCCAACAGGAACAAAAGUUAUUCAGAGGGGGAAUAAAGCUGGGACUGGACACCAGGAAAUCACUGUGGUCAAGGAAAAGGGUGAUUUUGAGAUUUGCUGGGGGGUUUUUUAGCAACCUGUAAUUUUUCACAGGAAAUUUUGAACAAAAGUGGGACAUAAAUAUUAUUUAGCAAACCAACACAGGAAGGAGACUGAUUUCCCUGCUGACUGUAUGUCCUUUGGGUGAGAUUCAGACUCACACUUCCAUGGGAGGCAGGACCAUGGAGGUUCCUGUUUCCCCACCUGAAGUCCCAGAUAUUCAGCAGUGAGACUCUUUUCUCCUUGCCCAUUCACAUUCCCGUUCCUGAGAGAUGCAGGGAACAGAUCCCUGUGUAUCUUCUUGGCAACUGGAGUGAAUACAGUAUUUGGGCCAAAUCCUGCUGUGCCUGAACACGGUCAGCACGAGCCUCAGCUGUGGGCAGCUGCCUUAGCUGAGACUGUGAAAAGAGCUGCAAAGGGCAUUAAACUGGUGCAAAAAAGGAUGAAGGACCGUGGGAUACAACUGUGUAUGCCAAGGGGUCUCCUGUAGAUAAGCUUCUUGAUGUUCUGGUCCUAAUAUUUCUGUGUUCUUCAAAGGUAAUUAAAAGCUCAGACCCCUCCAUCUCACUGAAUAGUCUUUCUAUUUGAAUAUGAAUGCAUGCAGUUAAAGAGUCUUGAGGAUGUAUUGUGUUUUGAACUGCAUCUCUGGCAUGUUUAAUCACAUCAGGAUUUGAUAGGCUCUGUUCUUUUAGUCUUUCCAGGGAUUGGGGCAUUGUAUUGUAUGGAGGGCUAAAUGGGCAAGAGCAGUGCUCUGUGUAUCUGGGGGAGAAGGACUAAAGAAGAUCCCUCAGAGACAAAAGAGAGCUGGUGUUGAACAAAUGUAGCACACAAGAAUCUGCUAGUGAUCCUUGUGCAUAUGCAAUAUUCAGUUUGGGGAUUUGGGGGGCGUUUCUCAGCAUGCAGUCCCUUUAGAUUUGGGUGCGAUAAAUAACUACAUCCUGUGUGUUGGACCUUGGCUUGCAUCCUCAUAACUUCCUGCUUUUCCAAAGGAUACAAUCUUACAUUGUCUUGGGCUUGAGCACUAAAGGAUAAAUUUGAUCACUGGCUGAUUUGUCAUCUCUUCAUUGUGAUGGAAAAAGUCGCCUAAAACAAAUCCUUUGUUAUGCUGCUAAAACUGCUUUUGAAUCCAAGAUCUGUUGUGAUUUUUAAAACACAAACCCAAAAAUGUCAGAACCUGACCCUUCAUCUGGAUUUGUAGGAAACAUGGAAAAUGGGACUUUUCUGGAGCUGUAUCCUACAUCCCUUUCAACUUCAGUGGAUUCGUCACCUGGCCGCUUAUCCAACGUCUAUGUCUAUGUUUCUAUAUUCCUUAGUCUCUUAGCUUUUCUCCUUUUGCUAUUGAUCAUUGCACUUCAGAGGCUGAAAAACAUAAUUUCUUCCAGUUCCUCCUACCCAGAAUAUAAUAGUGAUGGUGGAAGUUCUUUCACUAAUUUAGAGGUUUGUAGUAUUUCUUCCCAGCGCUCUGCUCUCUCAAACCUUUCCUCAUGAAACUAAACGAAAGGAAACACAUAGGGAAUGGAAGAGCUUUGAGUUUCUUGGGGAGGUAGUGCAUGCAACAUUUGCCUUGGAAGACUAUUAAUGAAGAAGUGGCUUCUGAAGUUUCCUUAGGUUUGUUUGGUUUUGGUUUGUUUUUUAAUUUUUCUUUCCUUUUCUAGUCUUCAUCUCCCCUUUUACUAAUGUUCCUUUUCAUUUUGGACAAUGGAUAAUGACACUUGAUCAUCUUUUCAUGCCUGUAAUAGUGAUGCUGUCUUUUUCUCACACGUACAUGGUGUUCAUUAAGAGUACUCCUGCCAAAUUGUAAUACAGUUCUAACUGAUUGUGUCAUUUUUCUGUGCUAGUUGUGAUGGCUUCCCUGUUUUUUUAUCAGUAAUAAGCUGACUACUUUUCUUUUUCCUUUUUUAAUCAGAAAAGGACUUCUGGAUGAAAUCUCUGUUGCAAGUGUCAAAAAUCAGCUUAAAUUAUAAAUAUAGUCCUUGGGGCAAUUUAAAGGUGUUGGUAUUGCUUCUUUUAAAUUUUUUCACAUCUUUUUCAGUAGUUAUUGAUGUUCAUAAAACACAACAAAAAUCCAUUUAUUGAGGAAUGUUACUUCUGUUUAUUUGUACUCCUGACUCAUUCUGUAUAAAGUCUCUGUAUUUUAGUUUUUUAAUCUCUUUGGUUGACUUAGUAAAGCAAUGACAAUAAUGAUGCUCA